GCCAGGCAUGGUGGCGCACGCCUGUCAUCCCAGUGGCUCAGGAGGCAGAGGCAGGAGGAUCAUAAGUUCAAAGCCAGCCUCAGCAAAAGGGAGGCACUAAGCAAUUCAGUGGGAUUCUGUCUCUA
rnacentral:sRNA from 1 species